CCGGCCAAAGGAAAACAAAAGGAAGAACAAAGGAAGAAAAGAAGAACAAGAACCCUAGGUGGGAAAAUUUAAGGGAAAAUUAGUGGAUUUCAAGUAAUCAAGCAAUCAAAGGUAAAAUUUCUUGAUUUUGACACGUGAUCUACCUUUCCCAUGCAUUUCUCCUUAUUUUCCAUGGUUAAAUUUCAUGUUUUCAUGGUGAAUUCAUGGCUGGCCGAAUGGGUAUGGAGAGAGAAUGAUGUUGGAUUGAUUUGAUUUCAAGUUAUGUUAGUGUUUUUAGUUAGUUAGUGAUGUGUAGCAAAAAAAGCCAACAAGAAAAAUUCAUUUUCUCCCAUUACCCAUAAGGGGCCGAAUUUUCUACUGAGAAUAUUGAGGCUGAAAUUGAUGAUAUUUCAUGAUAUUUUGGUGAUAUUUGAUGUUUGGAGAGGUUAGAAAUUAAAUAAGAAAUUUUGGUGUGAAAAUCUAAAUGUUUGCUCAACGUAUAGACAUGUGUGAUUAUUGACCCGGGACUGAUAAAUUGAAUCUCAUUCACAGUCACUGAGGUAAUUUAGGUAUAAUUGUAGUGUAGAAAGUGAGAAGAAUUGAUUUGGAGUUAAAUUGGAGAUUUUAGCCGAUUAGACCGAGUAUAAUGUGACUUAGGUCGAAUAUCACAUUUAAGCGAUUAAUCAGACAUUUUGCAUUCCAUAUCAUGCAUUAGUCUUAAUUAGUUUAAUUUCUAUUUAGUACCAAUGUAGUAAGUUUCUCGAUUUUGUACUAUGUCAAGGUGGUGAGUCCUCCGACAAGGGCAAAGAAAUUGUACCCGAGGAUCGAUAGUUGGAGUACUAUAAAAAUUCGACUCUUGAAAUAGUGAGUAACCUUACUAUCGUCUUAAUUAUCUAAAGUGGUUUUUAUCCGAUUUUAUGAUUUUAUGGAAAAUGAGUUUAAAU
rnacentral:lncRNA from 1 species